rnacentral:rRNA from 1 species
UUGGAGGGCAAGUCUGGUGCCAGCAGCCGCGGUAAUUCCAGCUCCAAUAGCGUAUAUUAAAGUUGUUGCAGUUAAAAAGCCCGUAGUUGAAUUUCGGGGUCAGUAGGUUGGUCAUGCCACUGGUAUAUACUGGCCUCACUGAUUCCUCCUUCCUGAUGAGCCGUAAUGCCAUUAAUUUGGUGUUGCGAGGAAUCUGGACUGUUACUUUGAAAAAAUUAGAGUGUUUAAAGCAGGCUAACGCUUGAAUACAUUAGCAUGGAAUAAUGAAAUAGGACGUUCGAUCUUAUUUUGUUGGUUUCUAAGAUUGACGUAAUGAUUAAUAGGGAUAGUUGGGGGCAUUAGUAUUCAAUUGUCAGAGGUGAAAUUCUUGGAUUUAUUGAAGACUAACUACUGCGAAAGCAUUUGCCAAGGAUGUUUUCAUUAAUCAAGAACGAAAGUUAGGGGAUCGAAGACGAUCAGAUACCGUCGUAGUCUUAACCAUAAACUAUGCCGACUAGGGAUCGGAUGAUGUUAAUUUUUUAAUGACUCAUUCGGCGCCUUACGGGAAAC